CAGUCGCCGCGGGAAUACGUAGGGUGCGAGCGUUAAUCGGAAUUACUGGGCGUAAAGCGUGCGCAGGCGGUUCGUUAAGACAGAUGUGAAAUCCCCGGGCUUAACCUGGGAACUGCAUUUGUGACUGGCGAGCUAGAGUAUGGCAGAGGGGGGUAGAAUUCCACGUGUAGCAGUGAAAUGCGUAGAGAUGUGGAGGAAUACCGAUGGCGAAGGCAGCCCCCUGGGCCAAUACUGACGCUCAUGCACGAAAGCGUGGGGAGCAAACAGGAUUAGAUACCCCGGUAGUCCCUGUCUCUUAUAC
rnacentral:rRNA from 1 species